UACGUAGGGUGCAAGCGUUGUCCGGAAUUAUUGGGCGUAAAGAGCUCGUAGGCGGUUUGUCGCGUCUGCUGUGAAAACCCGCGGCUCAACUGCGGGCCUGCAGCCGAUACGGGCAGGCUAGAGUUCGGUAGGGGAGACUGGAAUUCCUGGUGUAGCGGUGAAAUGCGCAGAUAUCAGGAGGAACACCGAUGGCGAAGGCAGCUCGCUGGGACGGUACUGACGCUGAGGCGCGAAAGCGUGGGGAGCGAACAGG
rnacentral:rRNA from 1 species